rnacentral:rRNA from 1 species
UACAGGGGGUGCAAACGUUGCUCGGAAUCAUUGGGCGUAAAGCGCACGUAGGCGGUUCGUUAUGUCGGAUGUGAAAGCCCUUGGCUUAACCGAGGAAGUGCAUCCGAAACUGGCGAGCUAGAGUACUAAAGAGGAUCGCGGAAUUCCCGGUGUAGCGGUGAAAUGUGUAGAGAUCGGGAGGAACACCGGUGGCGAAGGCGGGUCUCUGGGCAAUUCCUGACGCUGAGGCGCGAAAGCGUGGGGAGCAAACGGG